UGGUCUCCUUCCUUUUUAAGCCCCCUCUACAUGAGACAAACUGAGAUCCCAUCUGUAGCUGUGCCUGGCAGAAGACUUAGAAGAAAGGACAUAGACAGACGGAGGCUAAGAAAUGAGCCACUGGAGUCUCUACUAAGCCAGAUAGGAACCUGGGCCCCAGCAGUGAUGCCAGCACUCUCUAAAUUCCCAGGGUAGCUUGGACCCAGCCCAGGAGUGUCUGCUGUAUUACUGCUCUGGGGAACUAUGCAAGUUAGAAGAUGUUUCCUAGGCUCCAGACAUCAUCCUUCAGCCACUGGAGCCUCCGCUGGGACAGAGUGUGGAACCCCAGAGAUGACUGUUCCUUCAAGGAGCAUUGUUCCAUCAGGGUACCCUGCUGUUACCAGAGAAGAAACUAAGGACUUGGCUGUGGAACAGGGUUGGGGCAGGACUUCCUCUACAAGAAAUUUCUAAUCUCCUUUGAGAUCUACACUGUAGGAACACCUGCUCCUCUGGUCCCUGUGCACCUGAUGUUGUCCUUGAAACCACAAUACCAGCUUUCUAGGGAGGAGACAGCAACCAAAGCAGCUGGCAGAAGUCCCAACGGACUCCCCUCCCCCUCCCAGCUUGUUAUCCUGCUGGAGAGGGUCAAUGCUUCCUCCUUCCCUCCACACCUGAGUUUCUAUGUGGCCUGUGUUCUCAGUGAUCAGAUUGGGGCUUCAGGCCAGAGGAAGGAAUUGCUGCUUAAAUUUCUGAUUCUUUACACUAUUGCUUCUAAAUUUAGACUAAGUCAUACUGCAAAAGGCUUCCUAGUUGUUCCUAUAUCUCUGUUUCUCAAAACAUGGCCUGGGAGAAGCAGCCUCUGGGAUCUUCCUUGAAAUGCCAGCUCUAAAGCUCCAACCCUAUCCUACUGAAACUGAGCUGGAGUUAGGGCCAGUCUCUAAAUGAAUCCUUGGGGACUAAAGCUGCAUGAAAAAGCCAUAUCUGUGUGAAAGAUUCUCCUGGAUGACCAACUGAUUGAACUUAGUGGGUAUGAAGACUGGGGAGACUGCUUAUCAUGCAAGCAUGAGG